rnacentral:rRNA from 1 species
GUAGGGACCAAGCGUUGUCCGGAUUCAUUGGGCGUAAAGAGCUCGUAGGCGGCUCAGUAAGUCGGGUGUGAAACCUCCAGGCUCAACCUGGAGACGCCACCCGAUACUGCUGUGGCUAGAGUCCAGUAGGGGAGCGUGGAAUUCCUGGUGUAGCGGUGAAAUGCGCAGAUAUCAGGAGGAACACCAGCGGCGAAGGCGGCGCUCUGGGCUGGAACUGACGCUGAGGAGCGAAAGCGUGGGGAGCGAACAGGAUUAGAUACCCUGGUAGUCCACGCCGUAAACGUUGGGUACUAGGUGUGGGGUCUUAUCAACGGAUUCCGUGCCGAAGCUAACGCAUUAAGUACCCCGCCUGGGGAGUACGGCCGCAAGGCUAAA